AGAAAAGAGAAAAACCUAGAGAUAGAGAAGGGGGGGCUCACGGCCAUGGUGAAAAAAAUCCAUGUUCACCAAGCUUGGUCCAAUUAAUUUUUCCAUGGUGUUGUAAAUCAAAUGGAGGUCUUUGGGAACAUGAAUUGGUCCUUGAGAGCAGCAAGAAUGGUCUUUAAUUGAAGCCAUUAAAUUCAGCAAAUUAAGGAGCAACUUGCUAAGACCUUGGGCAGCCCGAAUCAUAGGUUGGAUUUAGCUUGAGUUUGGAUCGUAUUGGAGAGCGUUUGAGGUACAGACGCACACCCUGGUGAUCCACCUGUUUAGGACACCCUUUCUGCUAUUCGGAGUGCUCCUCUCUUUCCGGAGCUUAUACUUUUGGUAUAUAUAUUUAUUAGUGCAUUUGUAUAUAUUCGUUCAUGGGUACGGCGGGGCCCUGUCCCGUCAUAUGAUUCUGUCGGUCUGUUUAGAGGUCUGUGGACAUGUUUGUGGGUUAGGGUCUUUCUGUAUAGAUGUAUGUACAUGUCGUUUGGGCGAUCCCAUACGCCGAGGCGGCCGGUCCGCGUAUGUUGUUUGGGCGAUCCUAUACGCCGAGGCGGCCGGUCCGCAUAUGUUUAUAUAUUGCUUGGUUAGCCCUGUGUGGCUUUUGUUGGUAUUUUCUGCGUGCAGGGUAUAUUGGAUAGUCCGUAAAACAAAGGAAACUCUGUCGAAAUUUUCUGGAAAUUACCUAAAUUUGAAAUAAAGUCUUGUCGGCUUCCGCCAUAUACUAGAAUGAGUUGAUAGAAUUUGAGAUAAUAUUUGAUAGAUGGGUUCGGGUGCCCAGAUCGGGCACUAGUCACGGCCUACGGGGUUGGGUCGUGACACCAUGCCUCGAGACAUAAAUUUUUCAAGACUUUGUUCAAAACUCUGUCUAUAUUCAGGCAGAGUUCAAAGUAUUUUUCAAGAGUUUAUGUUUUUAUUUUUUCAAUAGAUGUAUAGUAUUUGUAGGUAGGUGAUAAUGCAAAGAUUUUUCAAACUGGAAAAAAAAAAAAAAGGGAAAUUGAUUAUAUUUGUCCAAUCACACUCCAAUCUGUGCAACAAUUACUGCAAUUCAAAGUGUAACUGUUUUUGCUAAAGGAGAA